rnacentral:lncRNA from 1 species
AGGGCAUAACAUCUUAGCACCGUGCGGUUUUAUUUGUCACGUCAAUCAAUUCCAUAUUUUCAUUUAAAUAAGGGUAAACUUUAAAUACCACCUUUGUGGUUUCGCACUUUCUUACUUUUAUACCGUAUGGUUUAAAGUGUAUCAACUUAGUAUUCAAUGAUUUUAUUUUUCUCUUUUCGUCAGUACAUCUGUUAGCUUUUCGUUAAAUUAUAUAUAAAAAUUUUCAGAUUCCUUGUCUAUAGUUUAUCAAAUAUUCACUUUAGUACCCUUUAGUUUUAACUUUGUUACUGAUUUAACGAAAAAAAAUUAAUGAAGGGGAUAAAACAAAUGAAAAAUUAAAUCAUAGGAUACGAAAGUGAUACGCUUUAAAUCACAAAGUACUAAAGUAAAAAAGUGUCAAACCACAUAGGUGGUAUUUGAAAUUUUUCUUUUCAAUAAUGAUAAUAAUUAGAAGUCAAAGGCUUGAAAGUAAAUAUC